CCCUUCUCAGGUUCACAUCUGGGGGGUUUCCAGUACUCUACCAGCCUUGGCUGUGGGAGGGAAAGUCAACAAGAGGCAUAACCAUUCCAUUCCUAGCUUGAGCAAUGGCUAGCGAGUGGAAGGCAAUCUGCUACAGGU